CACGUAGGGAGCAAGCGUUGUCCGGAUUUAUUGGGCGUAAAGAGCUCGUAGGUGGUUCGGUAAGUCGGGUGUGAAAACUCUGGGCUCAACUCAGAGACGCCACCCGAUACUGCUGUGACUUGAGUCUGGUAGGGGAGUGUGGAAUUCCUAGUGUAGCGGUGAAAUGCGCAGAUAUCGGGAAGAACACCCGUGGCGAAAGCGGCUCUCUGGAACGGUACUGACGCUGAGACGCGAAAGCGUGGGGAGCGAACAGG
rnacentral:rRNA from 1 species